GGGUCCGGAGGCGCGGAGAAGUGAGGCGGUGCGGGCAGCUCUGCGCGAGGGAGGGGUGAGCGGGAAAACGCGGCGCGGAGCCGGGAACAGCGCCCCCUCCCCCGGCGGGGGGGCCGGUGCGGCGUGUCGCUGAGGGGGCGGCCGGCAGCCCGCCGCCUCCACUGCUCCCCUCGCCGCCGCCAGCGGCAGAGUUCGGGGAAACUUUCCCCCUGGGUUAAGGUUGAGGGUCUGGGGUCGUGCCUCAGCCCUCCCCCGCCGCCUCACACGACGCGGCGUCCUCCUGGCAGCAUUGGCCUCCCAUCUACAAAGUGCUGAUGAUCCCCCACGAACAGCUGAGUCAUCAAAGAACAUCCAUCGCUCACAGGACCAGGCCUAAAGUGUGCCAGCUACUCUACACAUUUGUGCAAGGUAGUCCUUAAGAAGAUACAGUCUCAGAAUAGACAAGAAAAACAAGACAAUAGGAAGAUCGUGACUCUGGAGGGUCAGGAUUACAUCGAGAGGGCUGCAGUGCUCUCUGACUGCAGGAACCCAUGCCACUGGAAAACCCAGGUCAUGUUUCCUGAAGGCCUUUCAGAGGUCCCCGGUGGCAAGGCGAUUCCAUGAAACGCUCCAGAAGAAAGUCACCAGGAUGAAGUUGUGGCCACCGGCCAUGGCUACCGACGCAUCCUCCACUGUGGCCCGCCCGCCCCGGUGCCACUAGCCCAGCCGGGGCAGACCAGCCGCCCAUCAGGAGGCACCCUUCAUCGAGCAAGGAGACAAAAUCUUGGCAAAAAGAGCACCGAAGGAUGUGAACCCCUCGGAAAAUUCCACUUCCUGCACAGCAGCGCUUGUCCUUGGGUCUCUCACUCAUUCCCAUGCUCUUAACAAGGGAUUUCUGCCUGAGGCUACCGCACCAACUUUCUAAAUAAAUGCCGUGCUGCAGCGAACACCGAGCUCGCCGCUCCAGCAGCUAAUCUCGGCUCAGUACGAGCUCACUCUGCUCUCUUCCUACUUCCCUCCAUUUUAUUUCUCCACCGGUUGGGUUUUUUCCCCCUCUCUCUCCCCUCUCAUCAGCAGACUCCAACUCUCUCUCCUGCUGAACUUGCCGGGAACAAAAGGCUCCGUUCCAGAUCCAGCCCGCAGUUGCCGUGAGAAACUUCCUCGCCAGCGCUGUCUGUCGCUCCGCGCUCCCUCCCUCGCUCGCUCCCUCCCUGCCUCGGUAAAAUGGCAGUGCAAGGGCUUGAUGAAAAGGGUGAAAAAACCUCCUUUCUCAGCGCCUGCCUCUCCCGCAGCAACCCCCCCCUGCCCCAGUCGUGACGCCUGAACUCAAACUUCUCUAAAAAUACACUUUAGGAGGGCAGAAUUUGACGGGAGGGAUUAUUUUUUUUUUUUUUUAAACACUCUACUGAAAAGAGCAGCUGAGGGUGGGAGAAGCGCAGAGGGACAGCUCUGGGGAGCCGGCAGCCUCCCUCAUGCAGCCGACCCUGCUGCUGGUUUCACCUCCCUGCCCGGCAUCGCCAGUUCCCAAGUACUUGAAACAGAAUAACAGUUUUCCUUCACUGGGAAAAAUCCAGGCCCAGAGUUGAGGUCUUUCUCUUUUCGCAGCUUUAAAAGCCUUUUUUUAACUCCUCCGAGUGAGGAUUGCAGUGUAACGCGGCUGCUCCGCAAGCCCACCCGACAGGUCCCAAAUCUGGUGGGAUUCGGGAGGAAAUUAGACGGUUGGCUCCUGAUCCAGUGCAGGGGUUUUUAGAAACUCCGCUCCGCGUUUUGGUUGUCUUUUUUGCCCUUUUUUUUUUUUUUUUUUUUUUUUUUUUAAGUAGAUUUACUCUUCCUUCCCCGAGCGCUCAGCACCAGAGAGCUGGGGUGUGAGGGGGCCGUGAGCCCGCUGUGUACACCCGCGCGUGGAAAGUAAAUGGGGUUCGCUCUUGCCUCCCACUUUCUUAUGGUGCCCCCCACCCCCGAACAUCGGGGGGGUUUCUCUGGAAUGACUCAGUCCCAGCUCCAGCCUUAUUUUCAUCGCCGGGGGAGAGCUGCUCUCCCUCGGCCAGCCCCGAAUCCGCGCACAUCUGCCCCAAACCUCGCUCCUGCGCCCCCCCGGCCACGCCGGUGCUGGCGGGGGUGGGGGCGCGGGGCCGCGGACACGCGUGGGCUCGGUCCCCGCAGCCGCCGCGCAGGAUGCGCGGGGGGCUCGGCGGGGCUGCGCGUCCCUUCCCCUCCGCGCACUCCGCUUCGCCUUUUCCUCCUCCUAGCGAGGGCUGCUGAAAUAAUGCGUUUCCUUGAGUCAGGCCGAGUCGCUCUCCUCGCUUGAUGCGCAUCCAAAGUUUUGCAGCUCCCUGUCAAACGCUCGCACCGGAGUCUCGCGGGCCGGCCGAGGAAGGGGCUCGGUCCCUUCCCUUUGUAACCUCCCGCGCCCGCUCGGUGGGAAGCAGCAAAAUCCCGUGGAAAAUCCACUCCUGCCUUUGAGCUGUGCUGCUGCUUUCAGCAAACUGACGGAGUUACCUUCGGCUGAAACUCCACUUCAGUUGGCAGUGCAGAGCUCUCGCCGCCUGCCCCACUGCCAUUGUGUCAGCGCCCAAGAAGGAGAUUAUACAAUAUCUUGACAUUUUUUUAAGAGGAUAAAUAAGCAUUGUCUUCGCACGGUGCCCCGCACAUCAGCCACUCACAGCAAACAAAUCCAGCAAAUAAUAUUAAUCUUGGUGGUUGUGAAGCUGCCAAGGAGGGCGCUUAACCUAGAUAUGACAGUGGCUAAAAUACUGGAAGGAACGGGCUGGGCAACUAUAAACAUAUUUACAGGAAAUGUAAUUUUCUUUAGCAAAACUACUCUCAGAUAAGCUGAGGCACAGUAGAUAACCUCUCCUUACUCCAUUCCGUAUUUUGCAGCGUGCCCCAUGAAUUAUAAUAGAUGGGUCUCUUGUUCUUGGGUCCAGUCUGCAUAUCUCAGCAUACUGUGCCUUUCAGUAAAAUGGAAGAGCAUCCUUCUUCACCCAACUAGAUUAAUUGCUUCUCAGCUCGUUAGUUGCACUAGUUAAUACUUUAUUCUAAGAACUCUACCCGAUUCCUGAAGUAACAAUCCAGUCCACGUUUGUAGCGAGUUGAAAGGCUGGGGAUAACGAUAACGUGUGUGUGAGCGUGAGGGAGCGCGGCUGACUUUAGUCCGGUUUCCAUGUCAACGAUUCAGUCCAUAUUUGCCAUCACACAGUUGGCAGAGCCUUUUUUUUUUUUUUUGGGGGGGGGGGGGGGGAUGGUGGUGGUAGUGGGAGACACUACUCCUGUUUCUAGUACUCUAAUCUAGACCAGGUUUCCUAAACUGCCUUAGUGUUGGGUUAAAUGGCAUGGCCACCUUCAUGAAGGAGACUUCCACUCAGGAGGAGCCAGGCUGGUGCUGGUGGCCUGCAGUGCCAUGUGCGAGCGCUGGGCUGGCUCCCCAGCCUAUCUCGGCAGCCAGGGGCUGAGCCUGUCACAGAGGAAAGCGUGCUCAGCACUUAGGGAGAUGGGGAGGAGAGGACUGCUGCAUGCUACUUAGCAGGGAUCGCUCAGGCUGAGAAAGAGAGCGUCGGCACGUUGCAAUGAAAAGGCUCGUCCGGUUCUGCUGGGAAGCUGGUAGUUACGACACGGGAUGACAUGACCGGCGGGAGGAUUUUCAGCUAUUAGGUGGAAAUGUUGUUAAGAACUGUACUGUCAUCUACUUCCCAAAUCCCAUAGUUAGAGAUUCAUCGAAUGCCUUAGUAUUUAGUAAAGUGCCAGGGCCUCAUUGAUGAGGCAUAUUCCAAAAUCUGCUUCAGCUUUCACAAACAUUUGGUAAAGUGAGUGUCUCCUCAUUGUGUGGGUGGCUGGGGAAUCCAGUCUGCUUUUCACAUUACGAUCAACACCAGGUUUCUUAGUCUGCCAUAGUGCUCUUUGAAGAAGAUUCCAAAAGACUGACACGUGUAGAGAGGUUGCCAGCUCUGGGAUGGGGUCUUUGGAUACACCUGAGCUGCACCCCAAGCUCCCCAGCUGUGGCCGAUGAACUUCUGGUGGGGCUCAGUUCGACUCAGUUCGAUGGCAGGGCUUUGCUUCCUCGGAGUAGGCUGUAGCUGUGGAGCUGGGGAGAUGGUUGCUUGAGACGGUUCUGGGAUUAAACGGCAGAAUUCUCUCCGGUUUGUUGUUAGUUUGGUUUUUUUAAAGUUUAGCAUGAAUGAAACACCUGAGGAAUAUAUUGGUGCUGUGGCACACUACAGCCCACCACAGGCAUCAAUAAAGCCACUGGGCCUCGCUUGUGAGGCUACCCUGAUAUGUUGAAGGAGUUUUUCCCUCCGCUUCUUUGUCCUUCUAGAAGCCAGGGUGUUGAUCAAGUAUCAGAGGCACCUCUGAAGAGAGCGUGUAGAUCAACUUUUUGUUCUAUCAUGUUCCACAGUUUUCGGGCUCUCCUGAAGGAGAGUUUCUUGAUGGUUUUGCUGCUCUGUGGUCCACACUGGUCUCAGUGAAGCCACAGAGCCUCCCUGUGUGAUUCUAGCACCAGACUGGGCUCCAACCUUCGUGAAGGCCUUUGAGCACUAUCACAAUACCGAUGUCAUCAUUUAUUACCCUUUUCUUUCUAGAAGUUUAUUUACAGCUGUGGAGAAAGGCCAGUGGACCAGUUUGCUGCGAUGGAAUCUGCUCUGCAUUGCACAGUCAACUGUAAAGACUGCAAAACGGCAAAGCUGCCUGUUCGCGCGCCUGCAGGGCAGUUGAUUGCUCUAGAAUACAUUCAAAAUUUUUCUGUUUAUUGCCCUGUCCCGCCUUCCCUCCCACCUUCCAGCUUCGGAAUAAACCCCUUUGUUCUGCCACCUGCAUUCUAGCUGAUAAAUAUUUUACAUUAUAAGUUUUAUAAUGAGCGUGAGGGUUGAGUUGACAGCAGCAGACACCGAGAUCUUCAGCUCAUCCAUAACAGGCAUGCGGCGCCGGUGCUGACUCGGUCCGUCUACGCGUUGCCUUGCCUCUGGCUCCGGACUCAAGUGUCCCCACCACCAUCACCAGUGCUGUUAAAAUGGGAUUUUGUGUGGGGUGGUUGUCAGAGGCGGGCCGAGCCCCGCGCUUUUUGGACUGUCCAGCUGGUAACGGAGGUCACUUCUCCGUUUUUUGCUGAGGUGAUGUUCUAAAUUGGCAGCCCCGAUCAGACCUCAGAAGUGUCUUGUGACUCUCCACCCACUGUUUUCAGAUGUCUUCUCUCUCCUUAAGGUUGUAUUUGCUUAAACUUCACUUUUCCAAAUAUUUCCACGUUCCAGUGGAGGCACCUGGGACCCAGAUCUCAACCGCAAUGUGGCUGCCAUUUUCACUAGGCAACCGUGCCCUGAUUUCCAAGCGCUUGGGUUUAUAAUCCGAGUAACUCAUCUCUUUCUAUCUGCCAGGCUCUCCCGCAGACCCGUACCACCCGAAGUAACGCACGCAGCUACAGAACCCGCUGGCGCAGGACAGGCCGUGUCCAGGACGGAGUUCCAGGUACGUUCUCUCCUUUUUCCCGCGGUGGGAUGGAGGAGGUGGGAACGUGGGUCUGCGAGGGUUGCUGAAGAGCGUGGGCCAAUUCUCGGUUCACCUCCUGACGGCCAGGGAGCUGCGGCACCCGCGUAGCCCUCUGCGAUUGCCAGAGCAUCCCGGGUGUUGCUCAACGUGUUGUGUCUAGACACGUUCAGGUGGUUUUGGUUGUCCGGAUCUGGCCGCCCCCGGGUUUGCUCCUGGUUAGGUGCCCACGGCCCUGGCUUUGGCAGGAGCGGGAACCCGACUUUUCUUGGAUGUCCGUGCGUGCAGUUGAGAGCCCUGGCGCGCCGCCAAUGCCUUUUCCAGAGGGACACAACCAGCGGAGAGGAAAUGACAACCGCUAACAGUUUGCAAAAGGCUAAUUCUAAAUGGAAUUUCUAGGGACAAAGAAGAGGCGCUUCGUUAACCCACGGGCCAUCUCCCCGCCGACACCCCGCGGCUCGGCCCUGCGCCCCCCUCCCGCGGGGCUCGCGCUGCGGGAUGCCCCCGCGCUGCCCCCCAGGGCUGCCCCGGCGACGUAAGGCAGGUCGCCCCCCAGCCCGGGGCCGGGCCC